rnacentral:lncRNA from 1 species
UUUUUUUUUUUUUUUUUUUUUGGGAGGUUGGUAAUUGGGUGGGGGGAUUAUUGUUAUUCAGUUGGAGCUAGUGGUCUUGUACGUUAUUUCAUGGAAGUCCUUGCAAUGUGUUCAUCCGGCGCCUUUAAGGCUUAAAUUGAAGUUUAAUCAUUGUUUCACCAAAUUGUAGGUAUCAUUUGUGUUCUUUUUUCUUCUUGAGCAUCAUAUAUAUAUUGAAGAUCUUCUUUUUCUUUCUCGACCACAACCACAAAUGAAUCUGUCAUGGGCGCGUAAACGAUUUUGUGCUUAGUAGUACCGUUUGUUUAUUUGAGGAAAACGCUAGUGACAUACGACUUGUAUCGCAGACAUAAAUUAAAUGAUAACUUACUUUCUUGAUUUUGAAAAUUUUCAUAUUUAUAACAUGCCAUGACUUUUAAUCGCCCUUUUAGGUGAACUCUUUAACAACAAAAGAUACUAGAUAUUUUGUUGGAAUCCUGCAUCACCUAAUGAUCAUAGUUUUUGGAGAUGAUUUGUCUAAACUAUAUGGCGACCAACUAGAUCAUGACUCGAUUAAGACAAGGGUCGACCUUAAUUGUCUUAAAUCCGUCACCACUAUUUUAUCUACCUGUAGUUCAGCAAUCUAUUGAUCAAUCUACCACAACUGUUGGGACAACGUAAUCGCUUUGGGAAUAACUUCCUUGGGCGUCCUAAAUGUGUGUGUUUUGUUUACUUUCAACCUUGGACUUGGAUUUUGGAAGGUACUUGCCGAAUGCUGAGCAACACUUAUCAGUCAUGGAUCCCCGGAAAAAAAAAAAAAAAAAAAAAGGAAGCUGAAAGGGCAAAAUGAAACUUUAGUUUUGUUACUUUCAGGUUUAACGAAAGUGUAGAUCGAAGUAGCAAUCUUAAUUCAGACACAUUUGACUUUACGGCGUCUGUAAUACUCCCUCCGUCCCACUUUAAUAGUCAUGUUUCUUUUUUCACACAAUUUAAGAAAAAGUAGUUAACUUUGUUGGAAAAGUAAAUUUAGAUUGCUAUUUUCCUAAAAUACCCUCACAUUAAAUACGGUACAAUUUUAUGGAAAUUUGAAUUGAUAGUAAAAAAAGAAUCAACUCUCAUUAAAUAGGGUAGGUUUAUAGUAACAACUACUUACAUUGAAUAAGGGUAUUUUAGAAAAAUUAAAAUACAACUACAUUCUUCAUUUGGAAAGUGAAUUAUAAUUUGGGACAGAUGAAAAAGGAAUACAGGAUUAUCAAAGUAGGACGGAGGGAGUAAUAUAUAAACUACUGAAACCAAAUGCUCGUAUUAUGUGUAGAAUAUAUGGCUUAAAGAAAAUCAAGUACACUUAGGGUCUGUUUGUUUCGGGUGAAAAUGUUUUCCAGGAAAAUAUUUUCCUAAUUUCCCGUGUUUGGUUGCACAAAAGUUACUGAAAACAUUUUUCUAUGUAAAAUAUUUUCACUCAUCUUAUGGAAAACAACUUCCCUUCCAAACUUAUUGAAGUUGUUUUUCGAAAUGCAUGCAUCCCGCCUGUAGUAUGUUCCAAACUUAUUAAAAACAUCUUGUAGUAUGUUCUUUUUUUUUUUGUGUAAACAGGAGGAUUCGAACCCAAGAACUCUUCCUUACACUCCCUCCCCCGUACCACCCAACCCUUCCCUAGUAUAUUUAAAAUUUAAAAAAAAACUUUCAUCCUGCUCAUCCUAUGCUAGUAAUUAAUUAUGUAUAAUAUGGACAUUCUUUUCUAGAGAAACUUUCAGCAGUGAGAGUGCAAGAUAUAUGUCACAAUAAGCAUUGCAUGUGAUUGAUAUUUGACACUAAAUGGCCAGCAGUUUGUUUAUUGCUUAAGGAGAUAUUUUUUAUUCAUAUAUACAUUUCUCCAAGAUUUUUUAAAGUUAAACAAUGAGAUAAAUUUUCUUAUUUUGCAUGGGAAGAAGUAUGUAAUUAUAAUGUGUAGAAAGUAAAGAUAGAGAUAAACGUGAAAAUAUUUCAAAAGUUUAACAAACACCAGAAAAAUGAAGUAAGAAAAUAUUUUCAAUAAACUAACCAAACACCUGAAAAUGAUGAAAGGGAAAUGAUUUUCAUGGAAAAUUACUUCCACAGAAAAUAUUUUUCCAAGAAAAACAUUUUACUUCCAACCAAACAGACCCUUAAAAUGCAGAAAUUCUAUCUCAGCUCACCCAUGUGGAAGUUUGAACACUUGCAUUAAUAGAGAAAGUCAAUUAGAAGUAAUUAAAAAAAUCAGUAUCAACUAAACCAUGGAUUUGAAUAGUAUAGGGUCACUUAAAAGUAAAAAGCUAAAAAAAUUGAAGAGUACGUAUACUAAAAAAAUUGAAUCACCCAACCCCCUCUUUCUCUCCUUGGGAGGGGGAGAGGGAGAGUGGGGGACCUCAACCUAUAUGGUGCACAUUGGAUUUCUUAUCCAUGGUCGGUUGGGAAGACCUGGAUUUUCAAUCGUGGCACGUAUAAAUACGAAGUAAUUGUGAUUUGGAUUCACCAUGGGGCAAUGGAUACAACUAUUUUGGAUUUCUUUGGUUAUGGAAGCACACAAUUUUCACAUGUAUACUAGCUAGAGUAUCGCAUAUGAUACUCGUACAAAUAGAUACUAGCCAGUUGAUAAAUUGAUGUCCAGACAAAUUUUCCUGCGUAUCCAAAUCGAUUGUUAACGCCGACAAUAUACUGUUCCAUAUUCCAAAUUAAAUAGAGGACGAUAUACAUACAUACUUGCUAAGUUGAACAGGAAGUGCCCAAGGGGUUACGUACUUCCCCUCGUCCAGAUAUAGCUUCUAGUUUUCUACUGUAACCCCCACAGCCGUAACUUUGUUUUGCAGGCUGAGAAAUGAAUUCAUCGUUUUAAAACUGAAGUUUUGAAAGCUUAUAAUCCCCUCCUACUUGCUUAAGUUUUGGUUUUCCUUGAACAAGAAUGAAAUUCACGGCUGCGCUUUAAUUGGUGUUGAUUUUUAGCUACUUCUAGUUACCAGAGUCGGGCAUGCAUAAAGUAUACAUCAUAGCAAGAGUAGAUGGUUAGAACUAACAAGGAGUUGAACCACUACUACUCCUGACCAUAAAAAUUAAAGGGGAAAAAAGAAAUUUUUUUUUAAAAAAAAAAAAGAAGAAGAAAGAAAGAAAGAAAAUAAGGGCUAUGGGGUGAAUGGUAGGAUCAUUAAGAUUGAGUUCUGAAGAGAAUCCGAACCAAACAGAAAAAAGUUGGAUGAAAACUCAAAAAUAGGGACUUUUUGCGGCAGCAUUGCUAUUUGCUGCCCCCCUGCCACAUUCUGAAAUGCGUUCCCUCAAGAUGUAUUAUAGGCUCCAAGAUGAGCAGAGACUUAGAGACACCUGAAAAAAAAAAAAAGAAAAAUCGCCAAGAAUCAUCCAAACAAACAUUAUUGCCUGGUGGAGCCUCAUGUCUGGAAUAGUGGGAAGCCAAAGUUGAGAAUUAUAGAAGGAUUGAGAAAAAAGACGACUACUACUACAACUACAACUACUAAAGCCAACACUGACGCAGAAGCCACUAUUUCCUGCUAACAAGGCUGGCCUGCGAGCAAGCAUAUUCACAGAUGUUGAUUCUGCCGCAGUCUUGAAUUGCACUUCCUACUUCCUACCCUACUAUUUCUACUUCUCAGUUAUACUACUAUUUCCCUUUUUGCGCUGAAGAAACGAAUCAGAAACAUGAAAAGGGCUAACGAAUUUAUAGCCAAGGAACAAUAAAAACGGAGAGAAAGCGAAAGGCGUGCCCCUCCCUUCGCUGCUGAGACUGAUCCGCAUACCCCUUAAAAGAUGUCUCGAACAGAGUGUCUUUUCAUGAGCUUUCUUUGUUAAUACUGACUACAUCAUUGCACCAACUUUCUUGGUUAGCUUUCUAGUUUGGUUCUGUUCUUUUUGAACCAGAAAGCUAAGCUAGGAAUUCGUUAGCAACCAAAUUUAUUACUUAAUUUCAAUCCGAUAAUGUAUUUUGGACUAGAUCAUCUGCAACAACAGCAUUUUUUUUUCCUUUGAUAAGAAUUGGAUGGUUUUGGCUCCAAUGAGUCAAGACAUGUCUCUGAAACUGUAAGUUACUCACAAGAUUGCUUAUAGAUCACUUACUAUUAUAACCCUCAAGUCUACAGUAAAAAUUGUAACCCUCAAAUCCACAGUAGAACCCUAACAGGCGGACCUUUUGCAAAGAAAUGAUCCGUGCUAACAAGUUAAUCUGAUAUGUGUUGGCCAACAAUAGCUGCAUGCCAUGCAGCGCUUCUUAUGAUGGCAAUUUUCUCUAAUGUGGAGAACGAAUCGCUGGGUUCGUACGCGAGUCAUUGCGUGCUCACUCUACUCGAUGUACAUUGUUAGUGGUAAAAAACUAAGACCCCUAAUAACCUCUUCCCAAUAAUUAAAAAGAAAUGAAAAGAAGUCAGACAAGAAAUGAGCACCGAAAUUUAGAAAUGAAAUAAUAAACAUAUCUAGCAAUGUAUAGCUCGAAGCAAAUUAUUACUAUGCCUUUUCUCUUCUCACAUUAAAUCCCAAAAUUUCUGACAUAAUUGGCCCCCCCCCCUUUUUUUUCUCUAUCUGAAGAGAGGAAUCACAAUAUAUAUUGCUCAUGUUUGUACUGCUUUAUACAUGUGCUGCACUCACUCUCUCUCAAGAGUCAAGAGUGAGAGACUAGAGACUAGAGGGAUUGGGACGAAAACAUAGUUGGAUGAGUAACAGUUACAGUUAGCAGCGUCUGUCGUGACGUCCAUUAUUCAGGACGUGGAUGGGACUUACCAAUCGACCGUGGCUCAUAUCAUAUGUGUUAUAACCUCAAAGGACUCUACGUACGCAAUUUCUUUGUGCAUAUUGAGAUGCGAAAUGUUGCAUUCUCACAUGUUGAAGGAAUAAUUGCCGGUCGACCAGUAUUUUCAGAGUCCUCACCCGAUGGUACCCCCUCCCAAGCAAUCAAGAAAAGGGAAAAGGAAAGAAAUUGAAGCUGAGAAGUUAAUGGCGUGGAUUGGUUACUGGAUGAUAUUCUUCCUUUCAUGAGGCCUAUAUAGGAGCAGCCGUCUCCAUCCGAAAUGAAACUUAUGCCAACAUCCACAGGCUACUAUACUGUGCAGCAGAGUUUAGUGUAAGCGAGACUCAUUCAUUCAACAACUUUCUAGCAGCUACGCUCUGAUACUGUAGUAGCAGCACACUUUAUCAGAGAGAGUUCCUUUGAUCAUGUGAGACUGUCUGAGUCGGUUUUAAUUAAGUCAAACCUCAUCUUCUUCUUCUUUUUUUUUUUUUUUUUUUGGGGGGGGGGGGGGUGUUCGUGUGAUUCAGCUGGUUUUAACAAAAUAUAUAUAGUAGUAAUGCAGGAACAAAUAAAAAUUUUUUUUUUUUUUUUUUUUGUUGUUUUUGUGUGUGUGUGUGUGUGGGGGGGGGGGGGGUUGUUAGGGAGGGUAUUGAGGAACGUGUUGCUGUCGCUUACUCUUGACGCCAUGGAUUAUGGAUAUGGAAAUAAAAAAAAAUGGCAUAUGUUCUUCUAGUAUUGUUCUUUGAUCCUCCAUUGCAUCUUUCCAUGUGAAAGCCAACAGAUAUAUAGGCGGCUUGCCUUUGAACCAGCAUAAUGUAAAUUGUCUCUCGUUUUCAUCAUAAUCUCUCCUGAUUAAUGAAGACUUUCGGUUCCGCUAAUCCCCUAACUGUUUGGAUGUUAAUUAAUUGAGUUCUAUGCAGUUCAUGGAUCAGAGUAGGAUUAAAUGACAUUAAAUAAUUUAAUUGAUCUCGAUCGUGUUAUUUCCUAUGGAGCCGCAUAGAGUUAACACUUGCUACCAUCUCAAUUUCCAUAGUCGGAUGAUCGCUUAAAAUGAGACGUUGAGAACAGUUAACUGACCAUUGCAAAACAAAAAGAAAAGAAAGAAUGAAGCCAUAAUAUUAAUUUGAGGCUUCGAAUGCCGAAAUAAUUUGUCUAACUCGAUGUUGAAAGGUGUACAAGAUGCUUGAAGAAGAAGAAGGAGGUAGGCGGAUAAUGAUGAAUGGAUGUAGUUGUACAGUGCGCGUUAAAAAAAAAAAAAAUAUCUGAGAAAAAGAUCUGCCCGUCGGUCGUGUCAGGGAAGGUACCGGCUGGCUGCUAAAUCCAAAAGUCUAUUUUGUCCUCCAGGCGGACAUGGAUCGUGGGAGAUGCCACACUUUGGGCCUCUAAGGACACAUGGGACGUUCGUUGCCAUGGGACUCAAAUAGACGCGUGCACGAUCCACUUGCCUCAAACGGCAUCAGUAGCUGGAUGACUAAUCCGCAUAUCCGAUCCAUCCCGCUCUCUCCCCCCCCCCCCCCCCAAAUUAUUAAAAAAAAAAUCAAAAUAUAUUUUAAUGUUCUCGUACAUUACCAAAAUACUAGUAAUGAUCAUCAUUAUCAUAAUCCGACUAAAGGCAUCGGCCAAGACUCUGAUUUGAGAUCAAAGGUUAGGAAAGUUCUUUUUCAUUGUCGUUACAAAUUGGGGGUUUGGCUGAUCAAUCCUAAACGCUCAUUUACUCGACCGUCAAGAAAAAUUACAACACUUAUGUGCUGAUCCACCUGUCGCCUAUGUAAAGGAUGCAUUUUCCACCAAAUACAUUUGGACCAUAUGUAUCUUACACGUUUCUUCGAACAGGCUGUUCUCCUUGUUCCUUAUGCUAUAAACGAAGAGAGUCAAUUUCUGUUGACGUUAUUUUUGUAACUGAUUUUUUUUUUUAAAAAAAAAAAAUCGAUUAAAUUCAUUAUUCAUUAAUUUGUAGAUAAAAAGGGCACAUUAAAUUCAAAACAGAUAACCCAUCAAUUUCGAUAUAUUAAUCAAACCAGUGCCCCUUUUUUUUUCUUUUGGAAAAUUAGUUUAACUAAUUCCUAAAAUUGAGCGCAUUUGAGAGGUAACAUUUAUAAUGUGACUCAAUAUUUAGAAGAAAAGAAAUCAGCAUCGUCCCAAUAACGAAAGAGGAACUCUUACUAUGGAUAUAUCGCCAUCUUAGUAGCAGAUAGCAUCUUUCCCUAACGAACCGAAGGACAGCCUAGUCUUCUUGUCGGAUCCGAAGCUGAACUUAAGAUCGUCUGCAUCAACUUGAGCAGAGGCACUACUUGUCGAGGGGAAUGGGAAUGAAAACACAAGCGCUGGAGUUGACCUCUUAGUGCCAAAACUGUAAGCAGGAACUGCAGGCAAUUCAUUUGGCUGAGAUACCACCUCAAUCAAAGAGAAUGGCAUGACGGAGGGUGUUGGUGGCUCUGACAAUAUACUGGACGAGGCGGAUACAGGGAAGGCAAAUGCAGAGCCAUUAUCAGAUGACACGGCACGACUCAGAUCGUGCCUCCCAACAGAAAUUUGUGGCAAAGUCGGCCUUGUCCCAGAUGAGUGUGGUGGUGGCUUCUUUGAUGGCUCAAG